rfam:Triticum aestivum genome assembly, contig: Triticum_aestivum_CS42_TGACv1_scaffold_177197_2DS
UAACUACUCCUUCCGUCCCAAAAUUCUUGCCUUAGAUUUGUCUAGAUAUGGAUGUAUCUAGCACUGAAAUGUAACUAGAUACAUCCGUAUUUAGACAAAUCUAAGAAAAGAUUUUUGGGACGGAGGGAGUACUUU